rnacentral:rRNA from 1 species
ACUCCUACGGGAGGCAGCAGUGGGGAAUAUUGCACAAUGGGCGCAAGCCUGAUGCAGCCAUGCCGCGUGUGUGAAGAAGGCCUUCGGGUUGUAAAGCACUUUCAGUCGUGAGGAAGGUAGUGUAGUUAAUAGCUGCAUUAUUUGUACGUUAGCGACAGAAGAAGCACCGGCUAACUCCGUGCCAGCAGCCGCGGUAAUACGGAGGGUGCGAGCGUUAAUCGGAAUUACUGGGCGUAAAGCGCAUGCAGGUGGUUUGUUAAGUCAGAUGUGAAAGCCCGGGGCUCAACCUCGGAAUAGCAUUUGAAACUGGCAGACUAGAGUACUGUAGAGGGGGUAGAAUUUCAGGUGUAGCGGUGAAAUGCGUAGAGAUCUGAAGGAAUACCGGUGGCGAAGGCGGCCCCUGGACAGAUACUGACACUCAGAUGCGAAAGCGUGGGAGC